rnacentral:rRNA from 1 species
CAUUACCAGUAUUAGAGGCACUGCCUGCCCAGUGACAUUAGUUAAACGGCCGCGGUAUCCUGACCGUGCAAAGGUAGCAUAAUCAUUUGUUCCUUAAUUAGGGACUUGUAUGAACGGCCCCACGAGGGUUUAACUGUCUCUUACUUUUAAUCAGUGAAAUUGACCUUCCCGUGAAGAGGCGGGAAUACAAAAAUAAGACGAGAAGACCCUAUGGAGCUUAAAUUAAUAUGUUCAACAGAAUUUAAUUAUAAUCCAACAGGAAUAAAAAUAUUCUAACUGAACAAUAAAUUUUGGUUGGGGUGACCUCGGAGUAUAACAUAACCUCCGAGCAAUUAAACCAAGACUUACCAGUCUAGGCCAUAUAACUUAUUGAUCCAAUCUUAUUGAUCAACGAAACAAGUUACCCUAGGGAUAACAGCGCAAUCCUAUUUAAGAGUUCAUAUCGACAAUAGGGUUUACGACCUCGAUGUUGGAUCAGGACACCCGAAUGGUGCAGCAGCUAUUAAAGGUUCGUUUGUUCAACG